GGGGGCACGUGCACGCUCUGUUUACACAUCCACUCACACCUGUGCACCCUCUGUAGUUCUAUGGCCUUGGAGACUCUGUCCCCUUGCUGUGGUCCUACGUCUUUACACACACACACCACAAUAAAGUCUUAUGGAAUGUAUGCCGCGUUUAACGCAAUACAAUACAACUUUCAGCAACGGAUCUCUUGGCUCUCGCAUCGAUGAAGAACGCAGCGAAAUGCGAUAAGUAAUGUGAAUUGCAGAAUUCAGUGAAUCAUCGAAUCUUUGAACGCACCUUGCGCCCUUUGGCUAUUCUGAAGGGCAUGCCUGUUUGAGUAUCAUGAACACCUCAACUCUCAUGGUCCAUCCAUGAUGAGCUUGGACUUUGGGGGUCUUGCUGGCCUAGCGUCGGCUCCUCUCAAAUGGAUCAGCUUGCCAGUGUCUGGUGGCAUCACGGGUGUGAUAACUAUCUACGCUUGUGGUUUCCUGCCGAUAU
rnacentral:rRNA from 1 species